ensembl:miRNA
UCUUAGCUGAGUGUUCCGCGGGGCCCGAAGCGUUUACUUUGAAAAAAUUAGAGUGUUCAAAGCAGGCCCGUGCCGCCUGGAUACCGCAGCUAGGA